rnacentral:rRNA from 1 species
UACGUAGGUGGCAAGCGUUGUCCGGAAUUAUUGAGCGUAAAGGGCGCGCAGGCGGUCUCUUAAGUCUGAUGUGAAAGCCCACGGCUUAACCGUGGAGGGUCAUUGGAAACUGGGGGACUUGAGUACAGAAGAGAAGAGUGGAAUUCCAUGUGUAGCGGUGAAAUGCGUAGAGAUAUGGAGGAACACCAGUGGCGAAGGCGACUCUUUGGUCUGUAACUGACGCUGAGGCGCGAAAGCGUGGGGAGCGAACAGGAUUAGAUACCCGGGUA